CUUGGCUUAAACUGUGUCGCACUAAGAAAUUCAACUUGUGUCGCACUAAGAAAUUCAGUUAUGAUGACAUUGCAUAAAAUGCUUAAACUGUGUCGCACUAAGAAAUUCAACAUUGCCUGGAAUAUUCCAUAGCAUGUCUGGCCAAUAUCCAAAAAGGCCUACUACUGAACAGAGGGAAUUGGUGCCAACAAAUGUAUGGAGAGAUAAGAGUAGGGACAUAGAUAGAUAAGAUACCGCAUGUAUCUGGCAUGAGCCUUGGGUGGUCACGACUGGCCUGAUCAACCAUACUGAUGACCUAAUGCGCAUGACAAGAUACAUGCUGGGCUGCACUGAUAAGAAAUCUUGGAAAAGUUACAAACUUGCUAAAAGGUAUAAAAGACGGAGAAACUUGGCACUCAGGGGGAGAACUACCCACCUGUAAUGCGGACGCGUGUUGCUGGUCUCUGCUGUUCCCAGAGAGGGUCCCUCCAAGCUGACUGCCAGAGUUCCCCCAGUCACGUGCAGUGAGGACACAACCAAGCCCCUCUAAUGGUGAUGUAUACUUAAGCUGACAUAUCUAGAUACUAAGCUGUUUUGAAGUGAAUGCAUGCAACUACUUAAUGAGAGUUAAGCUUACUCUGCAUUGGGUCCCCUUGUGGACAAUAAAGUGUGGUGUGAAUUCUUAUCUGCAACUUGGUCUCUGUGUGGUUUCUUUUUCCUAUAGCCCAAGACACUCAUCUCGAACUGGGUUGUGUGCCCGCCAAUAUCGUUAUAAACCUUAUUAGGUAAUUGAUUAUUGCUUUUUGGAUAUUGGUGCUUCAUGAAUUUAAUGAUUAG